rnacentral:rRNA from 1 species
UGGGGAAUUUUGGACAAUGGGGGCAACCCUGAUCCAGCAAUGCCGCGUGUGUGAAGAAGGCCUUCGGGUUGUAAAGCACUUUUGUCCGGAAAGAAAACGUCGUGGUUAAUACCCGUGGCGGCUGACGGUACCGGAAGAAUAAGCACCGGCUAACUACGUGCCAGCAGCCGCGGUAAUACGUAGGGUGCAAGCGUUAAUUGGAAUUACUGGGCGUAAAGCGUGCGCAGGCGGUCCGCUAAGACAGAUGUGAAAUCCCCGGGCUUAACCUGGGAACUGCAUUUGUGACUGGCGGGCUAGAGUAUGGCAGAGGGGGGUAGAAUUCCACGUGUAGCAGUGAAAUGCGUAGAGAUGUGGAGGAAUACCGAUGGCGAAGGCAGCCCCCUGGGCCAAUACUGGCGCUCAUGCACGAAAGCGUGGGGGAGCAAACAGGAUUAGAUACCCUGGUAGUCCACGCCCUAAACGAUGUCAACUAGUUGUCGGGUCUUCAUUGACUUGGUAACGUGCUAACCGCGUGAAGUUGACCGCCUGGGAGUACGGUCGCAAGAUUAAACUCAAAUGAAUUGACGGGGUCAUAGCUGUUUCCUG